CACGUAGGGCGCAAGCGUUGUCCGGAAUUAUUGGGCGUAAAGAGCUCGUAGGCGGUCUGUUGCGUCUGCUGUGAAAACUCGGGGCUUAACCCCGAGCCUGCAGUGGAUACGGGCAGACUAGAGGUAGGUAGGGGAGAAUGGAAUUCCCGGUGUAGCGGUGAAAUGCGCAGAUAUCGGGAGGAACACCGGUGGCGAAGGCGGUUCUCUGGGCCUUACCUGACGCUGAGGAGCGAAAGCGUGGGGAGCGAACAGGG
rnacentral:rRNA from 1 species